AGGGGGGAGGGGGGUGUGUGGGGCCAUUUGUUGGGUUUGAUUUUAAUGAGCAGGUGUCGGACGUGUUUGUUUGCCUCCUUAAAGAGUUUUCUUUGUAUUUCACUGAAACAUCCAGCGACAAAAAUCAAAGAUGAGCCUGCAGCAUAUUUAGAUUCCUCAGGUUUGUUUUUGUGCAGAGAUCGUGCAUGAUAUCCUGAUUUAAGUUUCUCUAACAUGUUAGCGUUGAACGUUUAAACACUUCUGUUGCUAAAAUCCUGAAGAGUAAAACGAGUGGAUCUGUCUCCGAUGUUUGAGGGAGUAAAACACAUAAACAGAAAUAAAACCUGAGCAUGGCGAGCCCCUCGUUUUUCCUCUCCUGCUGAUGCCUGUGGUAGUUCAGGGCGUACUCGAGGGUUUGUGACCCCGUGUGGGACGAGGAGGAGGAGGAGGAGGAGGAGGAGGAGCGGGGGGAGAGCUGUGAAGAAGGGUGGGACGGUGUUUAUGCUGGCAUCUCUCUCUCUCUCUCUCUCGCUCUCUCUCUCUCUCUCUCUCUCUCUCUCUCUCUCUGCCCCACUCGCCUGGAAAGAGGCACAAAGAGGGAGAACUAAGAAACAGAGUGCAGGACUCUCCUGUGGUCCAAACGGAGAGUUUUCAGAAACCUUUUGUUGAAGUCCUUUAUGAUGCACACAGUCGUUGUGUUUUGAGAAGUUCCUCUGAAACGUCUCCGUGUUCAGGCUGCGGUCCUUCAGUCCGCUCAGAGACGAGCUAAUUAGAGCUGUUGUGAUGGACGCUAGCUCACAUUCCUCAGCCUUUUGUUCCCGCGCUUUAAUCAGCAUGCUAAUUCUACGUUUGGACAACAACAGAGCAUCACUUCUUCUUUAAAGACAACCCCCGCUCCUUACACACACACACACACACACACACACUCACUCACACACACACACACACACUCUCUGUACCUGGUCCUGCCCUUUGCCCUGAGGUCGGGUAUCCUUCUUGCCCUGACGAGAGGCCGUCUGAUUCUCCUCUCUGUGUUUUUGUUUUUGGGUCUCAGACUGUUUGGCUCCGAGCUGGCGGCUCCUGAGUCCCGCUCGGACGCUGCAGAAAGAGAGAGAGAGGGGGGGAGAGUUUUUCAAAGGUUUCCUAAAACCUGAAGAGAGUUUUCUAAAAGAUACUUGUGUGACACCACACAAUAAAAACACAAGUCACCAAAUAUCAUGGCUCAUUUGUUUUCAGUUAUCAGAAGUUGCAGAGAAACGUUGGCAAUGUUUCAGCACCAACAUGUUGCCUAUUCUUUGAUUCUUUGAUUCAUUUAGACGGCGUGCAGUGUGCAGAGUUUCCUGCAACUUAUGAUGGACUCCUAAAAGUCGCCUUAAGAGUUAGACGAUCCUCCUGGAAAGCUGUGAGAGGAUUGGGGCAUGUUUGACUUCUCCUUCAGAUGCAGAGAUUAGCGAGCGUUGCGGCGGUGAAGUCAUGUGACUAAGAUUAAGUGGCUGGACCUGUGGGGUCACAUGAUGAGGGAUCAGCGGGGCACAGCCUGAUAUCUGAUCCAGAGUCAGUUUCCCUGCAGCACACGGCCCACUUAGGUCUGAUAAUGACCCGUGGGGUACGGGGGGACUUGUGUUGUGUCACGCAGGCGUCCAUAUUGUUUGAUUUUCACUCUGAUCGUUUGUGUUUCAGCUCACACAGACGUGUGUGUGUGUGAUUGAAUCAGUGUGUGUGUGUGUGUGGUCAGCUGACGGGCGGCUCUGCUGUCACCUGGACAUGUCAGAGAGACACAUUGGCUGGCCCCGCCCUCUCUGUCCUAAUAACCCCCCCCCCUCCCCCUCCUCAUCCUCUCUUUGUGAGUGUGUUACCUGUGGAGGUGUAACUAGACACACUGCCAGACUCCACAACAACACUAUUGUUACUGCAGACAGUGAAGUGUUUACCUGAGGGAGUGAGACGCACACACUCUUCAGUCGGAGGUUCAGGUGCUCGUGUCGAGGCGAAGCUUUAACCACGUCUCUGAAGGACGUUUCUGUUCUCUGUAAAGAAAACUUAAAGACCCUGGAGGAUGUGGAACUGAAAACUUUAUGACUUCAAAUUAAAGAACAACAGAGAGAACACUCUCUCACUUUGAGAGUUAGUUUCUCUCUCUCUUCGUCUCCACUCGUCUUGAAGCGACUCUUCUUCAGGUGGCGUGCGUCCUCUGACCCGAUGGAGACACUAAAGAAUCUGCUUUGUUUGAGUCAUCGUUCAAACAUGAAGGUUUGAAUCGGUCAGGAUGUUGCAAAGGAAGCACGCUAUGAUGAAAAAUCAAAACACUAAUAUCCUUUGCGUUGUUUGUGUUGUGGGACAUGUGCCUGCCAGCUGAUCAUGUUUGUGCUCUCUUGUUGCUCGGUGAUGAAGCGUCUCUCUCUCUCUGAGCUGAAUAACAGCGCUCAGAAACACGACAUGUAACUCUCACAUCCUCGUUCCAGCCUUCCAUCCAACACAGACGACAUGUGGCGUCAGAAACACAGACUGAGUGCAGCCCCUCUGCUCUCUGCCACGAUCUGUUCUUCAGAAACAAACACUCUGCUCAUAAUGAAGCAAACACUUCAGCAGUCGAGUGUUUGGAUGAAGGUUAGAUGAUGUGUCAGGGAUGAUUCUCUCAGACUGACACCUCAAAGAACGAAAACUCGUCAACAAAAGACCACUUCAAUCUCUCAGAGGGACGAACUUCUGUGUUAUUUAUUUUCUGUAACCUUGUAUAAAGAAAUGUGUGUGUGUGUGUGUGUGUGUGUGUGUGUGUGUGUGUGUGUGUGUGAAGGUGGGAAUGUGGAGGAGUUGCAGGCUUAUUACCUUCUGUAAUUCUGUGCUCUCUACACAGCAGGAGAGCAGCUGUAAAAGUGUAAAAGUGUCAGCUGGCCAGUUAAUGACAUUGAGAGUGUGUGUGAGUGUGUGUGUAUGUGAGUGUGUGUGUGUGUGUGUGUGUGUGUGUGUGUGACUGUGGCCAUGGCAGUGAACUCUACACAAACACAGUGUGUGUGUGUGAGAGACCGCGGGGCAGGGGGGUGAAUAUACGACCUCAACACAAUCACUUUAUUAGCCCGCUGUUGGCUGGUGUUAAUGUAGAAGGUUUGUGUGUUUUGUGUGUGUGUGUGUGUGUGUGUGUGUGUGUGUGUGUGUGUGUGUUUGUGUGUGUGUGAGUUACCUGGCUGUCACUGCAGCGCUCGGUCUCACACCUGUGUGACAAGAGGCAGGAGGAGCUGCUCGGCGUGUCAGUUUGAGCGGCGGGUGUCAGAGGAGGGAGGGGAAACAUCAAUGUAAGCAAACUUUACAUGAAAGCAGAAUGAUGGUGAGAUUUCAUCAUUUAAGAAAGAGAAAACUCCCUGGAGCUCUUAUUUAUCAUGCCUUUAAGUUUCUCCUGCUGUGAAUCAUGGUCACAUCUUUCUGUCUGUUUUAGUGAUGGUGAUGAGCCUCCUGACUUUCCUGUAAAAAUGUAUCAUUAAAGAUUUGAAUACUUCAUUAAUGAGUCUAAUGUACUGAACAGUAGUUGAUAACUGUUUUUAUAACCAAUCUAUCGGUUGAGGGAUUUUUUCCUGGCUGUCUUAUUGCAAUUUCCUCAAUAUGAAGAUCUUUUUUCCAGUCUUACAUCCACAGAAAUCUGUCGUUUCUGACUGCACAAAACAUGUGAAUAGAGAAGCUGUGGUUUGAAUUUCUGUUUUUAGACUUAAAGAUGCGUUUAGAGCAGAUGAAUAGUUGCAGCCUUGAUAAGAUCUUGAAGUCUCAGGUUAAUAUUUAGCAGAAGGGGAAAUCAAUCCGUGGUUCGCUGAAGAUUUCUGCAGAUAAGAAGGAGCCGAGGGGGUUUAAGGGGUCGGGUGGGGUUCAGGCAAAGCCUCGGCGGGGGUGUGAGGAGCCGGGAGAACUGGAGGGGCCGUUGCCAUGGACGUCAGCAGGAGCCACUUCAUGGAGCUGCUCCUUUGUCACCAUAAAGAAGCCGAGGAGGGAUUUGAAUGAGAAAAGAGGCCGACGUCAGAACAGAGAGAGAGAGACAAAAAAAAAGAGGAGAAAGGUCCGCGUGAGGAGGAUGCAGAGGACAGAGGAGAGGAAAGAAGGAGGGAUAAGAAGGGCAGCAGAGAUAAUGUGAUUUAGCAGCGUGUUUGUGUUUGUGUGUGUGUGUGUGUGUGUGUGUGUGUGUGUGUGUGUGUGUGUGUGUGUGUGUGUGUGUGUGUGUGAGUGUGUGUGGGCUCAUGGAUGGCAGUCAUUACAUUAAGUCCACCUCUCCUGUUGUGCAGAGAUGAGAUGGAGAAAAAGAGCUGCAGCAGAGUGAGCCUCUGCAGAAGAGACGACUCCCUCUCUGCCACUUAGACAACAUGACUACACGACUCAGCAGAGAGACAGACAGACAGACAGACAGACAGACAGGCAGGCAGUGAGACAGGCAGUGAGACAGGCGGUCCAGUAGACGUCAAAGCGAUGUUGAUGUGAAUUGCUUGGUGCAUUUUGCCGCGGACACUCAGGCUGUGAGACUCAUUAUCGUCAGCCGAGAUGGUGUGACUGAGUACAAAGAGACAGGGAGGAGUGGACCGCCUGAAUCCAUCACACCUGAUAGACCCGAGUAAUACCUGUUAGAGAGAGAGAGAGAGAGAGAGAGAGAGAGAGAGAUGAUUUGAAAUGAAAAUGUGCUUCAGCUGAGUGAGGGAAGGUGGAGAAUAGAAAGCUCUUAGAAAGACAAUCAAGCCCACGUGUGUGUGUGUGUGUGUGUGUGUGUGUGUGUGUGUGUGUGUGUGUGUGUGUGUGUGUAUCCCCCCCCUUCAUGCUGCAGAGGGAGGAAGAAACUUUGCAGAGAUGAAAAAUCUGCAGUGAAGGGUUUCAACUCUUCAACUCAGUUUGCAUCCCUGGACGCUUCUAAACCCUCUGCAAAUGGAGCUGUGUGCGUGUGUGUGUGUGUGUGUGUGUGUGUGUGUGUGUGUGUGUGUGUGUGUGUGUGUGUGUGUGUGUGUGUGCGUGUGCGUGCGUGUGUGUGUGUGUGUGUUAUUGUGUGUGUGUGUGUGUGUGUGGUACAUGAAUUUAUUAAGGUACACCGUUGCAUCUUGUUUCAGUGUCUGACUUUCUCUCAGGUCUGUUUUCUGUAUUUAAAAGGUAACAGGUCGAUGAAUCAACAUGAAACAGAUGUCGAUGUACCCCAGUGAGCUGACAGAUUUUUCUUUUUCAAUGGACGGCGUCCUUGAAGUAAAAAAGGUUGAAAACUUUUAAAUACUAUAAUAAAAAGAGAAUCACAGUACAAUGCAGUUUAGCAACAAUAUGUUGUUGUUGCACUCACCGUGUGUUUACAUGAGCGACUUUCCCAUGAACAAUCAGGCAUGCUGGAGGUGUCAACAGGUCUGGGAGGGGUCGGGGUCAGGUCAGUGGGGUCAGGGGGAGGGGAGCAGAGGUGAGAAUGUGUGGGAAGGAACAGGAGGAGGAGGUGAUGGAGGGGGACAGAUGGACACGGCAGAGAUAAGAACAUGAUGAACUAACUAACACGUGUUUGCUUUCUUAAAUCAGACGCACCAUUUGGAGAGUUUCGGUUCUCUCCUCUGUUUUUGUUUCCCCUCCUCUUCAUCAGUCACCAUGUUGAAGCUUCACAGCACAUCCCUCCUCUGCUGCGUGUGAGUCUCUAAAACCCAAAAUAAAAGAAAGGAAAAUAAAAAAGAGCUGAAGUCAGUAAUAACGGUGAGGUGUAGGCCGCGGCCUGCGGUGUGGAAAGCAUCUCGUAAAGAAGGGAAAGACAGCGCCCAUCAAUCAGGAGCUCCACCUCUUAUCAGACCACACACUCAGUCCUGGGGAGGGAACGGGGGAGGGGGAGGUGGGUUAAUUAUUUCCGGAAUGAAGGAAAGAGAGGAAGGAAAAAAAGAACAGGAACUGUACCUGUGUGCGUACCUGCCCGGGGGAAUGUUUAGAGGCACACAUGCCUGGACUGCUGGGGGAUGACUUUCCCUUUCUGUGUGUGUGUGUGUGUGUGUGUGUGUGUGUGUGUGUGUGUGUGUGUGUGUUUUAUAUUCAUCACACGUGUCGGGGACAUCAUGUGGGUGGAAUGUUUUUUGAAAAGGUGUACAGAGGUACAGGAAGUGCUGGGUGUUGCCCCGCCUCUAUAAUUAGACCGUCAGCCUUUAGUCUGACACUACACAUUCUUCUUCUUUUAUACACUUUUCCGUUGUUGCUACUUUUUCCCCCCUCACUUCUUUUCCUUCAGUUUUCUCUGAAGAAAAAACAAAAAACUCGGUUUAGGACAUUUUUUGUUCUGCAGUAAAGACAACUUGGAAUUUCUUCCUCUGAGUUCUCCUCGGGGAUUUGUGCAAAGACUUUCAAGAUCAGUGCAUGUUUGAGCUGCGUGGAUGUACACAUUUGUGCAUGAAUGUGUGUGUGUGUGUGUGUGUGUUUGUAUGUGUGUUAAAGUCUGCAGGAGCCUCAGGGGGGGAAUGCAUUUGGCCUUGGAUAUGCAGGACCAGCUUGUAUUUCAGACAACAUUCAGAGUUUGCAUGAAGGAUAUGAAAUCCAUCCUGAAGCAGAGGUUCAGUCUGAAUUCGAUUUCAUGCGCUCGUUAUUCACCGCGUUCUGCCAUGCAGUUCCACAAGUCAGAAUACUCGAUGUGUGCACACAUGCGCUCACAGGCGGACUUGGAUUUUCUCCCAGAAGUGGAGGUUUUAUGCAUUUUGGAGACGAGCAGAGUUUCUUGCGUUGGCCUUGGCGGCGGAUCGUGAGCAGGGCUGUAGAUCCUCCAUGGCUGUUACUGAAGAGAAGAAGGAAAACAGAAGAGUCAGGCUGCAGCCAGGUCCAGUUUUCCAAGUUUAGGCGCAGUCAGAACCAGUGAAACCCCCCCCCCCCCUCACCAAAAAAGAGCCAACCAUCGCCCUUCUUUCCCCUUCCCCCUACCUGACAACCGCUUCUGUCCUCGACCUUUCUAGCUGCUUUCCUCUCUGAUGGACAGUCGAGCUGGAGUAUGAUUUCCUUUUUUUAAGGCUGCAGAGAUCUGUCUGCACUGCUCCUACUCUCACGCGCACACGCACACACACACACACACACACACACACACACACACACACACACACACACACACACACACUGGCUACAUCUCU